rnacentral:lncRNA from 1 species
CACACGUGGUAGGAGGCAGGUGGCAGGAGGCAGAUGGGGAGGGGGCUGUGUUGGACACUGAAGAUGAGGAUGGCUAGAGGAAGCUGCAUCUGGUUCUAUAGGGCCUGUAGUAUACAGCGUGCAAACGAGUGUCUGCCCUGGCCUCACACCCAGUAGGGUGACAUAGAUGAGUGUGUAGGGAGGUGAUGUGGAAUGAGAACUGGAGAGCGUGGAUGAGGAACGAGGGUGGCUGAGGA